UCCAGGUGCUUAUGAAGAGCCGGAAUACGGUUCUUUAAGCUGAAAAGGGAAUCCUGUUAAAAUCAGGAACGGGCCCGCCGCUGUAACCGGGGACGAAAGCCGCAGUUUGUCACUGUUUAUUGAUUGAAUAUAAACGGGAAGGCGCGGCAAUUAGAAUGAUCCGGAAGUCAGAAGACCUGCCUGGAAGGAAUUUU
rfam:Desulfotignum phosphitoxidans DSM 13687 Dpo_7c, whole genome shotgun sequence.